GGAAUUAGCAGCAUACUUUUCUGAUAUGUUACAUUCAAAAUCUGUUAGGCAAGUAAUUUACGAGUAAUGCUUUUGGGAAUGGUUGAUGAUCCACGUGUUGUGCUCAUCAAGCUUGCAGAUCGCCUUCACAACAUGAGAACAAUUCAUGCUCUACCAUUGCAAAAAGCUCAAGCUGUUGCUGAGGAGACCUUAAUCAUUUGGUGUUCACUUGCUUCAAGAUUGGGUCUAUGGGCCUUGAAAGCUGAACUGGAAGAUUUAUGCUUUGCUGUUCUACAGCCUCAAAUAUUUCAAAAGAUGCGAGCUGAUCUGGCUUCCAUGUGGAGUCCUACUAGCAGAGCAGGAAACCUGAGAAGAUUCUCUGUAAAAGGCAAUUUGAUACAUUUGAAUGAGAACAAUUCAACUUCUUUUUACAACGGAUCCUUGACAUUCAAUGGGGAUGUGUGUACGAAGGAUCUUUUGGAAGCUGUAGUACCAUUUGAUAUAUUGUUGGAUAGGAGAAAAAGGGCUAACUAUCUCAAUAGUAUUGGGAGUAAUCUUGGGACAUGCACAAAACCAAAGGUUGUACAAGAUGCUGGGUUAGCUUUGGCAUCAUUGGUAAUUUGUGAGGAAGCACUUGAGCGAGAAAUGAUUAUAUCGUACAUGGCAAAAGAAUGUUAUGUUCUGGGAAUGGAAAUCACCUUAUCCAGCCGGUUAAAAAGCCUGUAUAGUUUAUACAGCAAGAUACUAUACACUUGUUCCUUCUAAAGAUGACAUAUGUAGUCACUUUUCCACCACUAUCAAUCUUCCAUCAUUACCGCUAUAUGACUCUGCCAUAACUCGGGAUGCUUCUCCAGCACCUUUUCAGGUCUUCAGGUGAAGCUUUAUCUCUCCUAGACUAGUGAGAAGCGAUGGCUGAUGAGAAAUGUACCCUUCAUAGUAGUAAUACUUGGGAGUUGAUUAUUCUUCCAACUGACAAAUCAAUUCUAGGGUGUCAAUGGUUGUACACUCUUAAAACAGGAUUGUUAUAAGGAUACAUACAAAUCUAUAGUCAAAGAUUAUUAUGACACUUUCUCUGUUGUUGCAAGAAUAUCUGAAUUAUAUAUGUAUAUUA